CACGUAGGGGGCAAGCGUUGUCCGGAUUUAUUGGGCGUAAAGAGCUCGUAGGCGGCUUAGUAAGUCGGGUGUGAAACCUCCAGGCUCAACCUGGAGACGCCACCCGAUACUGCUGUGGCUAGAGUCCGGUAGGGGAGCGUGGAAUUCCUGGUGUAGCGGUGAAAUGCGCAGAUAUCAGGAGGAACACCGAUGGCGAAGGCAGGUCACUGGGCCGCAACUGACGCUGAGGAGCGAAAGCAUGGGGAGCGAACAGG
rnacentral:rRNA from 1 species